CUAAGUUCCAAAUCCAGAGAAAAUGGCAGAAAGUUCUAGGGAUGCUAAGGAAUUCUUCAAAGGACUGGUUUUACAAGCCAUUUUCCUGGAAUGACAGUGUGAGCAAGCCUAGUCCUCAGCAUCAUUGAUGUAAGAAGUAAUGAGCUGCCUGAGUUCCUGCCUUGACUUCUUCCAAAUAGUGGACUGUGACUUGGAAUUGCAAGCCAAAUAAAGCCUUUCUUCCCUAA